UGAUUUUACCCCUUAGGGAGUACACUUCUCCAUUAUCCGGCGCACCAAAACCAAUUCAUCUAUGGUAAGCUACCCUUACUUCCACGACAAACCCAUGCUCUGCGUAGCUAGCUGCGUCUGACACUACAUCCUUUGCACUAAUGCCCUUAGACCACAAAUAGGCCCCCUACUGGUGGGUGUCCUACGUUCGACCUCACAAACCAGUGUCAUGCCCC